CACGGGGGGAGCAAGCGUUGUUCGGAAUCACUGGGCGUAAAGAGCGCGCAGGCGGUCGUUCAAGUCGCGUGUGAAAGCCCCCGGCUCAACUGGGGAGGGUCACGCGAUACUGAUCGACUCGAAGGCAGGAGAGGGAAGUGGAAUUCCCGGUGUAGUGGUGAAAUGCGUAGAUAUCGGGAGGAACACCAGUGGCGAAGGCGACUUCCUGGCCUGUUCUUGACGCUGAGGCGCGAAAGCUAGGGGAGCAAACGGG
rnacentral:rRNA from 1 species